AUGGUCAUAAAACUAGACUUCAGCAAAGCCUUCGACACUCUCUCCUGGGAAUCUCUCCACGCCAUCCUCCACUGCCGCGGCUUCCCGCCAAAAUUCACGGCCUGGAUCCAGGAUAUCCUCUCAACAGGAAAAACGGCCGUCAUGCUCAACGGGAUCCCAGGAAACUGGAUAAACUGCAAGAACGGACUCAGACAAGGAGACCCCAUAUCACCCUACCUUUUCAUCAUCGCUGCUGACCUCCUUCAACAAAUGAUCACACAACACUGCGACGCUCGACACCUCACACACCCCCUGUUCACACACCUGCCACCAACCGUUCUAUAA
rnacentral:rRNA from 1 species